rnacentral:lncRNA from 1 species
GCAUUGGCAGAGUACUGUGGAUCUCCUAAACACAUGUCAAACUCAGAAGGAUCUUCAAAAAAUUUGUACAGAGAAGUUCAAGCUGCGAUAUCUGGGGCACCCAAUUUUCAUACUAUUGAAUUUGUUAUUCUUGGAAUACUUCAUUCUUUUCAAAGAUACACAUUCCCAAUCAAUUUCUUUGUUAUCUUUUUUUUACUAUAAUUUAUUCUUAUCCCUUGUUAUGACCUUUUUGUAAGCAUGUUGCAUUGGAAUAAUGAUCAAUGGACU